rnacentral:lncRNA from 1 species
AAGAACUAAAGGACUGAUCUUUUAAGAAACAGAGAACAGGAAUUGGUUGGAGAAAUCUGAGUUUUAUUGCCUCAGAUUGAUGGAUACAAACACAAAGACACAACAACUUUACUUAAGACUUUUCUCAAACAUUUCACAGACAACUAGAUGCUUAACUAAAGACCGGCCUACCUAUUCAUAGCAACACAUAACCGAGAUCAAUAUAAGAAGAUGAUUGCAUCUAAACAGACAGUAACAGCUUUCUCAGCUUCUUCAGAAACUUCCAACCUUUCAGUCCUC